GGCACAUGUUCAGCAGCAAAGUGUAGAAGUGGGAAAAUGUAAUCACUGACCUUCUCAGGAGUGUUAGCAAACUCGGAGAUGCCUGGUUUGAUUUUCAUAACCACUGGUUUUCUAUUUUUGUCCCUCAUCUGUUUUAUGUCCAACAGGUCGUGUGGGUUACCGUUGUGUCUUGGCCAACAAUACACAAAAAUCCGAGAGCCACUGCUACCACAGUCCACAACGAUGCCAUAAUUCAGAUUGGGGUUGUUUGUAUCUGUAGCUUCAGUGUCCG
rnacentral:lncRNA from 1 species